GACGAACGCUGGCGGCGUGCUUAACACAUGCAAGUCGAACGGAAAGUCCCUGCUGUUGUUUGGUGCUCGAGUGGCGAACGGGUGAGUAACACGUGAGUAACCUGCCCUUGACUUUGGGAUAACUUCAGGAAACUGGGGCUAAUACCGGAUAGGAGCUCCUGCUGCAUGGUGUGGGUUGGAAAGUUUCGGCGGUUGGGGAUGGACUCGCGGCUUAUCAGCUUGUUGGUGGGGUAGUGGCUUACCAAGGCUUUGACGGGUAGCCGGCCUGAGAGGGUGACCGGCCACAGUGGGACUGAGAUACGGCCCAGACGCCUACGGGAGGCAGCAGUGGGGAAUAUUGCACAAUGGGCGGAAGCAUGAUGCAGCAACGCCGCGUGCGGGAUGACGGCCUUCGGGUUGGAAACCGCGUGAGCGUGUGACGAAGCGUGAGUGACGGUAAUGGGUAAAGAAGCACCGGCUAACUACGUG
rnacentral:rRNA from 1 species